AUUUACAUAAUUCAAAUUUAGAAUAUUGCAUUGAAGCUGCAAAAGUAAGAGUUUUCUUUGUAAAUA
rnacentral:tRNA from 1 species